AUUCCGUGUUUUUCAGCAGCACGAAUUCAAGAGGGAUGCUUCUGUUUGGGUUUCUGAUCGUGAUUUAUAUUUAUUCAGAGGAAUAACAGAGGGUGGAUCUGUUCCCGGCGCGAGCAUGCUCACAACCAGCCGACUCUCCCAUUAUCCAGCUGCCUAGUUUGGUGCUUCAAUGUACAUGGCUAUUCCGUGUGCAUAUGUGUGUAUACAAACACGCAUGCAUGCCUGGAUGGACAUACGUAUGCACAGGUUAUUUUUUAAGGACAAUUCUUUCAAUAAGGUCUUUACCCCUUACUUGAAACAGGUGUUCAUGAAAAAAAUGCACAAAAUCCUGCCUGGCCGGAAUAAUUCAUGAAGAAGGGGCUGGAUCCGUGGGUCAGAGAACACAGGACCAGUUUGCCAUCCCAAGGCCGAAGUCUGGUGUCUCGGAUUUGUUCCUGUGUUGCCCACUCCUGCUGGAUCUUGUCCAGUCGAGGGACAAACGUCCUGAAGAAUGGGAAGAAAGGAGGUUCUGAAGGCACAGAUUCCAAUACCAUGCCAGAGGUUGAGGACACUGGUGCUUGAAGGGAAACUGGCACACUCUGGAGCCCCAAGAAGAGCUGGAGCUGGAGGCAUGCGGCCCACGAAGGGUAGAAGUACCAGCCAUGACCAAGAGCCCUUCACAUCAUCUGGCAAUCCAUCCAGAACCCACUGAAUGGAGGACAGCACAGCGAGGUCUUUCUCAUUUUGUAACUGCAAAAGCUGGAACAAGAGCCAGAGAAGCCAAAGAAGCAGUACAAGUCCAACAGCUUUUAGAAUAACCCUGAGAAAAUGGUUGAAUUUUGACCAGUUUUGCAAUUGGAUACUAUGAGAAGAGACCUUCCCUCCUGCACUGGAUUUCAUCAUCAUACCUGGAGGCCAUUCCUCAUGGGACUUUGGCCAUCUCAUAUCCACCUUUAAGCAUGUUAUUCCCAUUUCAGCUGUGGUAGCUCUGGGUAUCCUUCCCUAGGAGAAAAUAUUAAUCUUUUCUCCCUCUGAGUUCUGGAUUAAACUGUCUUAUCUGAAACUGGGUCACUUUAGGCUAGAAGCACCACUAGACAUUCCUGUUCUCAGAAGUUGCCAAGUUCAUGUCAUAUCUGUUUCAUUGUUAACGGGAUCCACUUCUGCAAGAGGCUGCCUGGCCAGAUCAGUGUGUCUCCUGGUCAGCUCCUUGAUGCCCUUCUCCUCUCCCCUGCCCAAUCCCAGCUGAGACUUGCACUGUGGUGACUCUGUCCCCUCCUGGUGCUUUGACUGGAUGUGUGAGAGAAAGUAUGGUCUGUGGCACUGACAUCUUUGUGUGUUUGGAGGUGACUGGAACACGGAUCCACCCCUGGAGGAAGGUGGCCGUGAAGGAGGCCAGCCUCAGCUCAGCGUUCUACUCUCAUCGCUCUUACUCCCGCCUUUUUAGUGCCUGCCCUACUCCAGGAUAAUUGUGCUUUUCUUUUUUCAGUUAAAUGUUAGCAUUGCUAUUUUUCAUUAUUGCAAAGCAGCACAUGCUUGUUACAAAAACUUUGGAAGUGUAGACAAAUAAAAAGAAGAAAAAGCUACUUCCAAAUCCUACUUACCCCAAAGACAAGAUGAUCAUUUAGUCAUAUAGUAUCAUACAUAUAUAAUAUGUACACAUAUAUUUUAAUGUAAGUGUAGUGUCACAAUAUCAUGUAUAGUCUUUCAUAAAACACGUUGGCACUUAAUAUCUUAUAUGAACAACUUUCUAGAGCAACAAGCUUAGUUUACAGCAAUUGUAAUGUAAGAGUACUCAUUUACAUAGCUACAGCAUCCUUUGUUUACCUCAUCUCUUAUGGUUUGAUGUUUAGGUUGUUUCCAACUUUUCUCCACCUAAACAGCAUUAAUAAAUGUGGUUUUAGUUUCCUCUU
rnacentral:lncRNA from 1 species